UACGGGGGGGGCAAGCGUUGUUCGGAAUUACUGGGCGUAAAGGGCCCGUAGGCGGCCAACUAAGUCGGAUGUGAAAUCCCCAGGCUCAACCUGGGAACUGCAUCCGAUACUGGAUGGCUUGAAUUCGGGAGAGGGAUGCAGAAUUCCAGGUGUAGCGGUGAAAUACGUAGAUAUCUGGAGGAAUACCGGUGGCGAAGGCGGUUAUCUGGCCCAACAUUGACACUGAGACCCGAAAGCGUGGGGAUCAAACAGG
rnacentral:rRNA from 1 species